UGCAGUCGAGCGGAACGAUCCUAGCUUGCUAGGAGGCGUCGAGCGGCGGACGGGUGAGUAAUGCAUAGGAAUCUGCCCGGUAGUGGGGGAUAACUUGAGGAAACUCAAGCUAAUACCGCAUACGCCCUACGGGGGAAAGCAGGGGCUCUUCGGACCUUGCGCUAUCGGAUGAGCUUAUGUCGGAUUAGCUGGUUGGUGAGGUAACGGCUCACCAAGGCGACGAUCCGUAGCUGGUCUGAGAGGAUGAUCAGCCACAUCGGGACUGAGACACGGCCCGAACUCCUACGGGAGGCAGCAGUGGGGAAUAUUGGACAAUGGGGGCAACCCUGAUCCAGCCAUGCCGCGUGUGUGAAGAAGGCCCUCGGGUUGUAAAGCACUUUCAGCGAGGAAGAAUGCUUGUCGGUUAAUACCCGGCAAGGGAGACAUCACUCGCAGAAGAAGCACCGGCUAACUCCGUGCCAGCAGCCGCGGUAAUACGGAGGGUGCGAGCGUUAAUCGGAAUUACUGGGCGUAAAGCGUGCGUAGGCGGCUUGAUAAGCCGGUUGUGAAAGCCCCGGGCUCAACCUGGGAACGGCAUCCGGAACUGUUAGGCUAGAGUGCAGGAGAGGAAGGUAGAAUUCCCGGUGUAGCGGUGAAAUGCGUAGAGAUCGGGAGGAAUACCAGUGGCGAAGGCGGCCUUCUGGACUGACACUGACGCUGAGGUACGAAAGCGUGGGUAGCAAACAGGAUUAGAUACCCUGGUAGUCCACGCCGUAAACGAUGUCGACUAGCCGUUGGGGUCCUCGAGACCUUUGUGGCGCAGUUAACGCACUAAGUCGACCGCCUGGGGAGUACGGCCGCAAGGUUAAAACUCAAUGAAUUGACGGGGCCCGCACAAGCGGUGGAGCAUGUGGUUUAAUUCGAUGCACGCGAGACCUUACCUACCUUG
rnacentral:rRNA from 1 species